UAAUUUUAUUUGUGAAUUUGUGGUGCUGCUGGACUUGAAUUUAUGUUAUUCUUGAUAUUUGAUUUAUGUCGACGUAUUUUUACUCAUGACUUUAUGGUGUUAUAUGUUAUUCUAAGUAUUACCUGCCCUUAUCAAUUAUUUUCACUUAUAGCUGAUAUAUUUGAUUUAUUAUUUUAAUUUAUUCAAUUGUCAUUCAAAUAUUCAAAUCAAAUUGCUACAUUUGUCUUGGUUGCCAUGAAUCACACAUCAAUGGGAUUGUUAUUCAUUUCGAUUCCAAUUUCUACAGUUUAAGUAAACAACUUAUUCUAAUUCAAAAUUCUUAUCAUGAUUCUUGUUUAUCAAACGCACCAUUAGAGUGUGUUUGGAAUAUAAUAUUGUAUGGUAUUAUAAUAUUGUGCAAAUUAAGUUAUUGCUUACCUAUGUUUAGACGUUUUGAAAGCUAAAUUGUGGUCCAUUAUAUAAUUCACUACAAUGUGCCAACUUUUGCUUUAA
rnacentral:lncRNA from 1 species